AUUGAACGCUGGCGGCAGGCUUAACACAUGCAAGUCGAGCGGGGUGAUGGUGCUUGCACUAUCACUUAGCGGCGGACGGGUGAGUAAUGCUUAGGAAUCUGCCUAUUAGUGGGGGACAACAUCUCGAAAGGGAUGCUAAUACCGCAUACGUCCUACGGGAGAAAGCAGGGGAUCACUUGUGACCUUGCGCUAAUAGAUGAGCCUAAGUCGGAUUAGCUAGUUGGUGGGGUAAAGGCCUACCAAGGCGACGAUCUGUAGCGGGUCUGAGAGGAUGAUCCGCCACACUGGGACUGAGACACGGCCCAGACUCCUACGGGAGGCAGCAGUGGGGAAUAUUGGACAAUGGGGGGAACCCUGAUCCAGCCAUGCCGCGUGUGUGAAGAAGGCCUUAUGGUUGUAAGCACUUUAAGCGGGGAGGAGGCUCUUUUGGUUAAUACCCAAGAUGAGUGGACGUUACUCGCAGAAUAAGCACCGGCUAACUCUGUGCCAGCCGCCGCAGUAA
rnacentral:rRNA from 1 species